rnacentral:siRNA from 1 species
GGGAAUAUCCAUUCACUUGGCUGA